ensembl:lncRNA
CCCUGGGGCUGUCCUCCCAGAGGUCUGCUCCUUCCAGUGCCAUGACCCAACAUGUGCCUAUGGGCUGUCCCCCACAGGCCCUCUCUUUCUACCUUCAUGUCCCCUCCUGUAUACCUGAUUGUCCUCAACAGGCCUACUCCUUUCAUCCUCUGUGUUCCCUCCUCUCCUACCCACUUGUCCUCCACAGACCUGCUCCUUCCACCCCAGGGUGUCCCCUACUAGUACUUCCUAUACCUGUGUUUGCCUUUUUCCAUGUUCAUCUUGGCCUGGGAGUCCCCUGUGGCCCCACAGACUAUCCUGACUGCUUGUUCCUUUUCAUAGGCCUGAAUGAAGAGGCCAAACUGUUUCUACAGAAUCACUCUGGCCUCCAGCUGAAAUGGAUGAUGCUCCUAAGUAGGAGGACUCGGGCCAUCCUCAGGAACCUGCCCUAUGGGAACUUUAUCUGCCCCCAGGCCUGCAUUCUGCAGGUUUUCCAGGCUUCCAGAUGGCAUCUAUCCGUCGAGAAUUUACACCUGUCUGAGGUCCCAGCUGCAGUUUCUAUUCCCGCCAUGUGAGUGCAGAGGCUUGUCUGAUCAGAAAGACAACCUCACUAAAGAGCCCAAGAAGCAACAGGCCCCUACUGACCAGAUGGCGAAGCUGAAAAAUCCUGAAGAGGGAAGUAAAUGCCUGGGACCCCAUGGUCGCACAGAUGGGACAGGUCUCUUGGCCGUCAAUCCUUCCUCUGAACAAACAAAAGGAAGAUAUGAUGGCAUGGGGGGUGCCCAAAUAUGAGCUCCCCUCCUUAAAAUACCAUCUAAAAUCCCCAAACCAAAUUUGGCUCCAAGAGUAUAUCCCACAAUGAUACAGCAAUGGCCCUUGUAAAUGCCAAAGCCACAACAUUCAUCUGGGGCAUAAGAGACUCCAGACAGAGGCUGCUGGAUCAGAGCACACUCACAGAAGCCUCAGGAGGGAAGCCUGUUCUGUCACCCAGGGAGGCACUGAUGUGUGCCAGAUAUCGCCUUGUGCUGGUCAUAAAGUUGGCUCAGAAGGGCUCUUGAUGGAGGUUUCUUUAAAUGGUGACAUCAUCAAAAGAUGCCAGAAUGGGUGAUGGGACCUGCAGCUUCUCACCUGUGAAAGGCAGGAUAAUAACACAUGCCUCAGUCCAGGUACAUGGUGAGUGAUGAGGAAGAGCUGGCUCUAGGACUUCAUGCCAGAGAAUGUUUUGCCUAUGUUUGCAUCUAAGAGUUUUAUGGUGUCGUGUCUUAAGUUUAAGUCUUUAAACCAUUUUGAAUUUAUUUUGUGUAUGGUGUGAAAGUGUGUUCUAACUUCAUUGGUUUACAUGAGGCUGUCCAACUUUCCCAACAUCCCUUGCUGAAGCAACUAUCUUUUUCCCAUUGUAUAUUCUUGCCUCCUAUGUCAAAGAUUAAUUGACUGUAUGUGUGCUGGUUUUUUUCUGGGCUCUCUAUUCUGUCCCAUCCAUCCAUAUGUCUAUUUUUGUGCUAAUACUAUGCUGUUUUUUUUUCUUUUUUAGGGCUGCACUUGCAGCAUAUGGAGGUUCCCAGGCUAGGG